GAGCGCCCGCCGCGGAGAUAUCUGCUGCGAGGGUUUGUGCGUUUUGGGGGGGUCGUUCCGAGUGCGUUCGCUUUUGGGUGUUAAAGACUUGACGGAGAUUGUUAGACUCUGCGAUUUUAAACCACUACUUCUCCUCAAUCCCCAAUCUACAUAUCUGCUGGGACCUAAUUAGGAACCUCUCCAGGAUAGCAAGGUGGACACUAACGUACUCAUCACCCAGCUUCAAUUAUCAACUCAAAGCCAGUUUUGUGGCAUGACAAACUCACCUGCAAAGCUCCUGAGCCAAUUUGAUUCAUAGGUUUCCAGUGGAAUUCUGACAUGAGCAAGGAAGCUCAGCCAAUAUUUUUCCCAAGCUGUCACAGCAUUUCAGAGCCAAGCACGAACCUGGAGAGGUGGACAGGAACUACAUCAUGAAAACCACUGUGUCAUACCCAGGAAGUUGGACUGUUAUCCCGAAGACUUUUAUAAGAAAAUCUUUAAAA